rnacentral:sRNA from 1 species
GCAGGGUGCAGUGGCGCACACCUGUAAUCCCAGCGGCUUGGGAGGCUGAGGCAGGAGGAUUGUGAGUUCAAAGCCAGCCUCAGCAAAAAGCGAGAUGCUAAGCAACUCAGUGAGAUCCUGUCUCUA